CCUACGGGUGGCAGCAGUGGGGAAUAUUGCUCAAUGGGGGCAACCCUGAUGCAGCGACGCCGCGUGAGUGAAGAAGUAUCUCGGUACGUAAAGCUCCAUUAGCAGGGAAGAAAAUGACGGUACCUGACUAAGAAGCCCCGGCUAACUACGUGCCAGCAGCCGCGGUAACACGUAGGGGGCAAGCGUUAUCCGGAUUUACUGGGGUUAAAGGGAGCGUAGUCGGCAGCACAGGUCAGGGGUGAAAUCCCGGGGCUUAACCCCGGAACUGCAUUGGAAACUGGGCGGCUGGAGUGCAGGAGGGGUAAGCGGAAUGCAUGGUGUAGCGGUGAAAUGCAUAGAUAUUAGGAGGAACACCGGUGGCGAAGGCAGCUUACUGGACUGCAACUGACGUUGAGGCACGAAAGUGUGGGGAGCAAACAGGAUUAGAUACCCUUGUAGUC
rnacentral:rRNA from 1 species